rnacentral:pre_miRNA from 1 species
UCUUUGGUAAUCUAGCUGUAUGGUAUUAAUAAAAACUUGUCUUUCAUAAAGCUAGAUUAUCAAUGGUU